GACGAACGCUGGCGGCGUGCCUAAGACAUGCAAGUCGAGCGGGGUUUCGGGGCUUCGGCCCUGAGACCCAGCGGCGGACGGGUGAGUAACACGUGGAUAACCUGCCCUCUGCUCUGGGAUAACAGGCCGAAAGGCCUGCUAAUACCGGAUAAGCUCACGGACCCGCAUGGGUUUGGGAGAAAAGGCGCUGGAGUCGGUGGCGCUGGCAGAGGAGGGGUCCGCGGCCCAUUAGCUGGUUGGCGGGGUAACGGCCCACCAAGGCGACGAUGGGUAGCCGGCCUGAGAGGGCGACCGGCCACACUGGGACUGAGACACGGCCCAGACUCCUACGGGAGGCAGCAGUCGGGAAUUUUGCACAAUGGCCGAAAGGCUGAUGCAGCAACGCCGCGUGAGCGAAGAAGGCCUUCGGGUUGUAAAGCUCUGUUGCCUGCGAAGAAGGGCCCUGUCAGGAAAUGGGCGGGGUUUGACGGUAGCAGGCGAGGAAGCCCCGGCAAACUACGUGCCAGCAGCCGCGGUAAUACGUAGGGGGCGAGCGUUGUCCGGAAUUACUGGGCGUAAAGGGCGUGUAGGCGGCCUGUUAAGUCAGGGGUGAAAGACCGGGGCUCAACCCCGGGGGUGCCUCUGAAACUGGCGGGCUUGAGUGCUCUAGAGGGCAGUGGAAUUCCCGGUGUAGCAGUGAAAUGCGUAGAGAUCGGGAGGAACACCAGUGGCGAAGGCGGCUGCCUGGGGAGUCACUGACGCUGAGGCGCGAAAGCUAGGGGAGCAAACAGGAUUAGAUACCCUGGUAGUCCUAGCCGUAAACGAUGAGCGCUAUGUGUGAGGGGUAUCGACCCCCCCUCGUGCAGUAGCUAACGCAUUAAGCGCUCCGCCUGGGGAGUACGGCCGCAAGGUUGA
rnacentral:rRNA from 1 species